rnacentral:rRNA from 1 species
GAUGAACGCUGGCGGCGUGCCUAAUACAUGCAAGUCGAGCGAACAGACGAGGAGCUUGCUCCUCUGACGUUAGCGGCGGACGGGUGAGUAACACGUGGAUAACCUACCUAUAAGACUGGGAUAACUUCGGGAAACCGGAGCUAAUACCGGAUAAUAUAUUGAACUGCAUGGUUCAAUAGUGAAAGACGGUUUUGCUGUCACUUAUAGAUGGAUCCGCGCCGCAUUAGCUAGUUGGUAAGGUAACGGCUUACCAAGGCAACGAUGCGUAGCCGACCUGAGAGGGUGAUCGGCCACACUGGAACUGAGACACGGUCCAGACUCCUACGGGAGGCGGCAGUAGGGAAUCUUCCGCAAUGGGCGAAAGCCUGACGGAGCAACGCCGCGUGAGUGAUGAAGGUCUUCGGAUCGUAAAACUCUGUUAUUAGGGAAGAACAAAUGUGUAAGUAACUAUGCACGUCUUGACGGUACCUAAUCAGAAAGCCACGGCUAACUACGUG